GAUGAACGCUGGCGGCGUGCUUAACACAUGCAAGUCGAACGAUGAAGCCCAGCUUGCUGGGUGGAUUAGUGGCGAACGGGUGAGUAACGCGUGAGUAACCUGCCCUUAACUCUGGGAUAAGCCUGGGAAACUGGGUCUAAUACCGGAUAGGAGCGUCCACCGCAUGGUGGGUGUUGGAAAGAUUUAUCGGUUUUGGAUGGACUCGCGGCCUAUCAGCUUGUUGGUGAGGUAAUGGCUCACCAAGGCGACGACGGGUAGCCGGCCUGAGAGGGUGACCGGCCACACUGGGACUGAGACACGGCCCAGACUCCUACGGGAGGCAGCAGUGGGGAAUAUUGCACAAUGGGCGAAAGCCUGAUGCAGCGACGCCGCGUGAGGGAUGACGGCCUUCGGGUUGUAAACCUCUUUCAGUAGGGAAGAAGCGAAAGUGACGGUACCUGCAGAAGAAGCACCGGCUAACUACGUG
rnacentral:rRNA from 1 species